CCCAAAACGGGGUUCAAAGUGUCUGGCCAUCCACUCACGCUAUUCUCACGCUCUGAUAUUCAACUGAAACAAGGCGCUGGACAAACAGGGCCCACGACUGGGGGUAGAGGAGAAAUUGGAUGACAUUUAUGUCAUGAAAAGAGGAGCCCUGACAUUUCACUGUGAGUGACAGGAACAAUGUGAGCAUAUUGGUUCUAAUGUCACAGUGAGAAGGGACGGGGAAUGCGUGAGGUUAGGGUCUUGCCUCGUACUGUCUCGCCCUGCCCUGCCAGGACUAACAGUGAGAGGACAUGAAAGGACAUGUUUGGGGCAUGUUAGGAUAUGUUUGGGACAUGUAAGGACACGUUUGGGACAUGUAUGUUUUGAUGUAAGAAAGGAAGCCAGUCCCAUCAUCGGCACCUCACCUGCUCUUAAAAGAUAACCUUCGGGCCGACUGCGAGCCCAAGGCUGGUUAGGAGACACCGCUGAGACACUAUGUAAUUGUGAUGAACUGAAAGAAUAUUGGGGUAGCACUGUAAUUCAUUAAUCAUAUGCUGUCUUCCCUGCUCCUCUGUUUUACCUCUUUCCUUUUCUGUCUUCUACACCUAUCUCCAAACCUCCUCUUUUUUUAGAAUGCACAGCAUAUGUGUCACGCCCUAACCUUAGAGAUCCUUUUUAUGUCUCUAUUUUUGUUUGGUCAUUGCGUGAGUUGGGGUGGGUAUUCUAUGUUCUAUGUUGUGUAUUUCUUUGUGUUUGGCCGGGUGUGGUUCUCAAUCAGAGGCAGCUAUCUAUCGUUGUCUCUGAUUGAGAACCAUACUUAGGUAGCCCUUUUUUCCACCUGUCUUUGUGGGAAGUUGACUUUAUUUAGGGCAAUUUGCUUUGAGCUUCACGGUUUGUUUUUGUAGUGUUUAUUGUUUUGUUCGGCGUCAUUUUGUUUAAAUAAAGAAAAUGUACACUCA